rnacentral:rRNA from 1 species
UACGAAGGGGGCUAGCGUUGCUCGCAAUGACUGGGCGUAAAGGGCGCGUAGGCGGUUCAUACAGUCAGAUGUGAAAUUCCUGGGCUCAACCUGGGGGCUGCAUUUGAUACGUGUGGACUAGAGUGGGGAAGAGGGUCGUGGAAUUCCCAGUGUAGAGGUGAAAUUCGUAGAUAUUGGGAAGAACACCGGUGGCGAAGGCGGCGACCUGGUCCUUGACUGACGCUGAGGCGCGAAAGCGUGGGGAGCAAACAGG